GACGAACGCUGGCGGCGUGCUUAACACAUGCAAGUCGAACGGAAAGGCCCUGCUUUUGUGGGGUGCUCGAGUGGCGAACGGGUGAGUAACACGUGAGUAACCUGCCCUUGACUUUGGGAUAACUUCAGGAAACUGGGGCUAAUACCGGAUAGGAGCUCCUGCUGCAUGGUGGGGGUUGGAAAGUUUCGGCGGUUGGGGAUGGACUCGCGGCUUAUCAGCUUGUUGGUGGGGUGGUGGCUUACCAAGGCUUUGACGGGUAGCCGGCCUGAGAGGGUGACCGGCCACAUUGGGACUGAGAUACGGCCCAGACUCCUACGGGAGGCAGCAGUGGGGAAUAUUGCACAAUGGGCGGAAGCCUGAUGCAGCAACGCCGCGUGCGGGAUGACGGCCUGCGGGUUGUAAACCGCUUUCGCCUGUGACGAAGCGUGAGUGACGGUAAUGGGUAAAGAAGCACCGGCUAACUACGUG
rnacentral:rRNA from 1 species